GAAGGGGCAAGUCGCCGCACGGGGUGGAGCGGAGGGAAGGACGGGAUCCAAUCAGAGCUCCAGGCUGCCGCUUUAUUUGCAUAAAGAGAACUUCUCGUCGGCCAGUGGGGAGAAGGCGGAAGGAAGGCUGGAGCACCUGGAGGCUGCCAUCUGACAGCAGCGUUCCAUUGUGCUAAACACAGAGUGAAAUCCUGGCCCUACUGAAGUCACUGGAAGCUUUUCCAUUCAAUGGAGUCAGCUUUUCACCCAUAAUCAGACAGUCGCUGCCUUAAAGAAUGUACAGUCCAAACAGAGAAGAAAGACAAAGGCUGGGUCUCAAGGAUCUUUAACAUGAGUAAAUCUAUGUCAAGUCAAUGGAACAGCUGAGGAUCUGGCUCAGGGCUCCAAAGCAAGACAAAAGUUCUCCAAAAAGGGCUGGCCUAUGGCUCCAUUUCCUCUGCUGUUUUUCUUCACAGUAAUGUCAUUCCACUGUCUUCAAUGGAGUUUCUCCUGAUUUACGUGGCUAUAAGUAAGAGGAGGAUCAAGCCAUCCUGGGAAGCCCCUACAGCAACGUGACCGACCAACUCCCUCACAUCAAGAGUUGUUUGCAUCAAGAGUGGCUUCAGCUACUGGCACAAGUGGGAGGUAUGAGAAAACGAUGUGGCUGCGCAAGGGAGAACGCUGGUCUUGUAGAUGUAAUGAAAUAUGGGAUUCUCCCCAUUUGAAAAAAGAGAGAAGAAUGAUGAUCAUUAUUAAUUAGGCUCUAUGUGAUGAAUUAUUGUACACAUUUGUAUUUGUCAUCCAGUUUUUUGCAUCUGCUGGAUUUAUAAUUGAACAUUGAACUCGUAUUUAAUCUGCACUUUCUCUGACAUAUCCUAAACCCACUAGUGGUUGCACUAAGUGACUAAGUACCCUGGUCACUGGGUCCAGCUGAACUGUACUUGAUGCAGGACCUAAGAAGUUGGAGAGAAGUGUCUUUAUACUUUACCUUUACAUUCCUCUGCUCUUGGGGACAGCUCAGUGGCACCAAUUCUAACACCCUAGUAGCUCUCAUUCACUGGAACUUCCAGGGAAUGUCCUGAGCAAGGAGAUAACAGAGCAAGUGCCUCCAUGCAGAUUCAGAUCCCAGUGGAUUCAUGUGGUUUGGAGGCAGAUCUGUAACCUGUUCAGAGAGGGAGGGACCAACCCUGCACAAUGAUCAGAGAGAAACUUUACAAGGGGGAGCCUCAGAGCGUUCUUCCGAUUAGCCCCUGCUUGUAGGGACAGAUCUAACCCUAAAGAAGAGCUUCAUGGAUCAGUGAAAACAGGAAUGGUUUGUAGCAGCAAGUUCAACUCCUGUCUAAUCUACUGUUGGAAUAGUUUGCAUUCUCUUAACUAUAAGACUUGCAUGUGUUAUGUAGGAGGUCAAACAAGAUGCUCACAGUAGUCCCUUCUAGCCUUCUAAUCGAUGAAUGAAAAACUUCUGGACUUGGCCCAAAGGGUGGACUUUCGGCAAGUCUGUGCCACACUUUCCCCAGCUGUAAAGCAGAUGAUAAUACUUACCUGUGUCUGAGGGUGUAAGACUUAAAUAAUUAAUGGUUGGCAAGAGCUUGGAGACCUUUGGAUGAAAAGUGUUAUUAACCACACAUUAAAAACAUCUUUUCUUAAGCAACUUGCAUCUGAGCCCUUUCCCUCGGUUCAGUAAUGUAGGAGAUAGACACCCAUCUCUUCACAGAAGGAACUCUUUGCAACCCUGCACAGCUCCAAACCAAGAAGAGACCAUUUUCCAGAGGAUACAAGUUUUCAGUUAUUCCACUGAACAACACCCCUCAAAAUGCAGAGACAAUUACCAGACCUCCCCCACUCUGUCCCCAGGAGUGAGUCUCUUCACAGGCUGUGAAACCCUGUCACUCAAUAUCUCCCUCAUCUGUCACUGUGACACUGCCCUGGGCUGCACUGGGAUUACAGAGCAAUGAAAAGCUCUGUUUGAAAAUGCAUUCCUGAAACCCCCAAGGAACAUGGUUUAAGCUCAGCUCUUAUCACAUGUGGAGGGAAAUACGGGCCUGCAGGGAAUGGUUGAAAGUCUCCUGCUAGGGUUUGACCUGGAGGGUAAUUUAACACAAGGGCUAUGUGUUCUGGCCCCAGGUGUCCAAGUGGCUUUCAUGUGCAGGAAAACUCCAGGGCCUCAGUAUUUGUCUAUUUCUUGGCGUGGUUUUGCUUCAAGGAACCACGGCUCAGAGGGGAGUUAUUCUGGGCCAAGUUCACGUUCACAUCUCCCUGCAAGAUGCCAAGCACAAAGGAACUGAAAUACCAUGAUUAGAGCAAGGGGCAGAUUCUGUGCUGCACCCUCUCAGAGACACAGCACAGGAGGUGUGACUCAACAGGAGGUGAGGCAGGGGGGCAAAGGUGGCUUUCCAUCAUCUUUCCAUCAUCCAGAUUCUGGGCUGCUGUGGAGGUCAAAACAGGCUCUUGCAUAAGUUACUGUAGCCACUGGGGACUGCUCUCACUUACAGCAGGCUCCCCAGGCUGUGCUACAGCCCAGAAUACCAGCAGCACUCAGCAGUACAAGCAUGCUGUCUCCGAUCUAUGAUUUGUUCCCUACCUGGGCAUGCCCCCUACUCUGGGACUGCUUACAUUGACCCUAUGCUGCUUCUGAAUUAAGAGAAUUCUCCUCCAACCCACUGUGGCUCCUUGCCAACCCCAACAAAGCAGCAUAUAAGUGAUGAGGUCCAGAACUGGUCCCGUAGUGUUAUUUUGCCUCCAUCAAUGGCCCUUUCUCAUUGCAAAACAAUGCCUUGUGGUAGGUCAUACAGUGAGUCAGGGACAGAGCUGAGAUUAGAACGCCAACCUCUUGAUUUCCGCUCCCUUUAACCCCCCAGCACGUCUCUCAUCUUUCUUCACGGCAGUAACAUCUGGCAAGAGGUUCUGAAUCUCUCCUACCACGGAGACGUUUCCUCACCUGGUACAGUUACUUUCCUUGAGACAACCAGGGUCCCACAGCUUGAUUCUCGAGGCUCAGCUGCAGUGACAUGAAAAAUGCACACACAGCUUCUACACAGGGAGACUUUUAAGUGAUUGGGUCCAUUGUAAUGUCUGGCAGCCAUCUGUCAGACACUAAAGUAAACCCCAGCUAACCCAGCAUGUGUGGUCUAAUGUAGAGCUGAGCAAAUAAUUUAUCUGAUGAAUUUAACCUCUUUUGCUGCUGACUGAAUAUCUGUGAGCAGGUCACCGUUUCCUCCAAUUCAUUCAUUAUUCUAGUAUUGACUAAACAGCUUUUUGAAUUUUUUACUCUGUGUCAUUAAGACAAAUCCAAAAAAAGAGCUUAGUUUUGAUUGGUCAGAUGAAUCAUCUGGUGUUGUUUCCUGAUUGGAUAAGCUAGCAAGCAAAUGUGCAUGUGAAUUUAAAAUUAAUUUCCCACCCUUAUUCACAUAGGUGACAUUGAAAUUCACUUUCAAGGUGCCAGAAAAAAACCUCAGUGUCUGGAAUGUUCAUAGGAAGUGAUGCAAACAGGGCAGUAGCCCGCUCACAGAAAAUUUCAUUUAAAAUAAAACAAAUAUUUGCAGAACAUUUUUGUCUUAUUCAACAUCUCUCUAGGAAGAUGGAGCAUGGGUUUAGGCUUUGGAACUCUUUGGUUCGAUUUUUUGCUCUGCCACAUACACUAUGUGAUGUUGGCAGUCUUUUAGGCCCAUAUAUUUAGAGAAGUAGCAACUAGAGUUGGUCAAUUUUUUUUUAAAACAAAAACAAAGACAUUUUUCAUUAUUGUUGAAAUUUUCAGUGGAAAAUGACGACUUCCUAUGGAAACCCAAAAAUGUUUUGGUCCAAAGUUGCCAAAACCUAAAACAUUUUUGG